AAAACGACUCUCGGCAACGGAUAUCUCGGCUCUCGCAUCGAUGAAGAACGUAGCGAACUGCGAUACUUGGUGUGAAUUGCAGAAUCCCGUGAACCAUCGAGUCUUUGAACGCAAGUUGCGCCCGAAGCCAUUAGGCUGAGGGCACGUCUGCCUGGGCGUCACGC
rnacentral:rRNA from 11 species